rnacentral:rRNA from 1 species
AUUGAACGCUGGCGGCAGGCUUAACACAUGCAAGUCGAGCGGGGUGAUGGUGCUUGCACUAUCACUUAGCGGCGGACGGGUGAGUAAUGCUUAGGAAUCUGCCUAUUAGUGGGGGACAACAUCUCGAAAGGGAUGCUAAUACCGCAUACGUCCUACGGGAGAAAGCAGGGGAUCACUUGUGACCUUGCGCUAAUAGAUGAGCCUAAGUCGGAUUAGCUAGUUGGUGGGGUAAAGGCCUACCAAGGCGACGAUCUGUAGCGGGUCUGAGAGGAUGAUCCGCCACACUGGGACUGAGACACGGCCCAGACGCCUACGGGAGGCAGCAGUGGGGAAUAUUGGACAAUGGGGGGAACCCUGAUCCAGCCGUGCCGCGUGUGUGAAGAAGGCCUUAUGGUUGUAAAGCACUUUAAGCGAGGAGGAGGCUCUUUUGGUUAAUACCCAAGAUGAGUGGACGUUACUCGCAGAAUAAGCACCGGCUAACUCUGUGCCAGCAGCCGCGGUAA